rnacentral:rRNA from 1 species
GAUCCUGGCUCAGGAUGAACGCUAGCUACAGGCUUAACACAUGCAAGUCGAGGGGCAGCAUUUUAGUUUGCUUGCAAACUAAAGAUGGCGACCGGCGCACGGGUGAGUAACACGUAUCCAACCUGCCGAUAACUCGGGGGAUAGCCUUUCGAAAGAAAGAUUAAUAUCCGAUAGCAUAUUGAGAUCGCAUGAUUUUGAUAUUAAAGAAUUUCGGUUUAUCGAUGGGGAUGCGUUCC